rnacentral:rRNA from 1 species
CUUAAAUUGUGGGGAGCUGGAGGCAUAACAGGUCUGUGAUGCCCUUAGAUGUUCUGGGCUGCACGCGCGCGACACUGAUCUAUUCAACGAGCUUACUGGAUCGAUAAAUUUGGUGAAUCUUUUGAAAAUAAAUCGGGCUGGGGAUUGAUGCUUGAAAUUUUUCAUCAUGAACGAGGAAUUCCUAGUAAACGCAAGUCAUCAACUUGCAUUGAUUACGUCCCUGCCCUUUGUACACACCGCCCGUCGCACCUACCGAUUGAAUGGUCCAAUGAACACUUUGAAUUUUAUUAAA